AGGAUGAACGCUGGCGGUCUGCUUAACACAUGCAAGUCGAACGGAGUACCUCGGUACUUAGUGGCGGACGGGUGAGUAACGCGUGAGAAUCUGCCCUUAGGUCGGGGACAACCAUUGGAAACGAUGGCUAAUACCGGAUAAGCCGAGAGGUAAAAGAUUAAUUGCCUAGGGAAGAGCUCGCGUCUGAUUAGCUAGUUGGUGAGGUAAAGGCUCACCAAGGCAUCGAUCAGUAGCUGGUCUGAGAGGAUGAUCAGCCACACUGGGACUGAGACACGGCCCAGACUCCUACGGGAGGCAGCAGUGGGGAAUAUUGGACAAUGGGCGCAAGCCUGAUCCAGCAAUGCCGCGUGGGUGAAGAAGGUCUUAGGAUUGUAAAUCCCUUUCGGCGGGACGAUGAUGACGGUACCCGCAGAAGAAGCUCCGGCUAACUUCGUGCCAGCAGCCGC
rnacentral:rRNA from 1 species